CCUACGGGAGGCAGCAGUGGGGAAUAUUGCACAAUGGGGGGAACCCUGAUGCAGCGAUGCCGCGUGGAGGAAGAAGGUUUUCGGAUUGUAAACUCCUUUUAUCAGGGACGAUAAUGACGGUACCUGAAGAAAAAGCUCCGGCUAACUACGUGCCAGCAGCCGCGGUAAUACGUGGGGAGCGAGCGUUUUCCGGAAUUACUGGGUGUAAAGGGAGCGUAGGCGGGACGGCAAGUCAGAUGUGAAACCCGAGGGCCCAACCUGCGGACUGCAGUUGAAACUGCUGUUCUUGAGUGAAGGAGAGGUAAGCGGAAUUCCUAGUGUAGCGGUGAAAUGCGUAGAUAUUAGGAGGAACAUCGGUGGCGAAGGCGGCUUACUGGGCUUUUACUGACGCUGAGGCUCGAAGGCGUGGGGAGCAAACAGGAUUAGAUACCCGUGUAGUC
rnacentral:rRNA from 1 species